GUGAGGUGGUGCUAUGUAGCAGGAACCCCUCUUGCUUUGCAAAUAGUUUUUUGUUUGUUUUCCUUUUUGCCCAAUAGAGCCCUGCUCUACUGACCCUUCAAUGUGCCCGUGUGCCUAAAUAUUCCUGGUCGUGUGAAAAGAACCCAGGUAUUAGCUGAACUAAGGAGCACAAUUCUGCAACAUUUUGGCACCCAAACACGGGGCUUGAGAAAUGAAUGCAAUUGGAGAAACUGGUUGUUUUACCAGGCGUUGAUUGGAAAUGUGUGCUUCCCUUUAAGCAGUCAAGCUCAACUUGCAGAACUGAUGGGAACCCCUUGGGAAAACUGGCCUCAAAUGUUUGUCUACACAGUCCACAUACAGGGUUCUUAACCUGCGGUAGGUAAUGGUGUCCCAUACCACAGAACACUUCCCUCAGAUGCAUCCUUCUAACUGGGAGGAGUUAAUUUCUCAAACCGUAGACUAAUUGGCUUAGGAUUAGGUUCAGGGGAAGGGAACACAGAAACAUGACAUGCCAGCAAAAGGGUAAAAGGUUUUUUUUCCCCGUUGGGCUUUUGGCCUCUCUCUCCCUGUGCAAACUGGUAAAAGGCGUCUGGAUUUUCUAGUUGUCCUUACCCACUGCUUGUUUCGUUUUGAUACAUAUUUUCUAAUAACCUGUUUGUCUCUUCUCACUUUUAGGCCAUCAAACUCCAGUCUGCACCUGGAGCCUUGGAUGAUGGCCUUUUUUACUGGGAACCCUGAAAUAGGCCUCUGAGGGAAAUCUGAUUGCCAUUUUCCCAAAACAGCUUCCCUGACAAUAGGAAGCAAUUAAGAUUGGUCUUCAUCCUUAUCUUUAUCCUUAUUCUAAUGGCAGUUAGAGGUACUUCUUUAGAGGGGGGAAUGAGACAGCCAAAUGCCUAGGCAGAUAAAAAGGUGUACCUGGAAAAUUUCCAACCCGUCACACAAGUGUUUACAUCAGAUGCUUUUGUGUAGAUGAGGGAAACUUCCCAGGGCUUGUCUGGGUAUGCCCACAGUGGACUGGAGCCCAAAAUGCACACUGGAGGAAGUGGAUGGAGCCACGUGGAUGUCAUGCCUUAUGCAGGGGAGGAGCCUGCUCUCUUCAGCUCCUGUGGUAAUGUGGGAAUCGAUCUGUGAGGUGAGGACCUGUUAGCAGGAACCCCUCUUGCUUUGCUGAAAGUUUUAUUUUUCUUUUUGCCCUAUAAAACCCUGUUCUACUAACCCUUCAAUAUGUCUGCAUUCCUAAAUUUUCCUGGUCAUGUGACGAGAACCUAGGUUUUAGCUGAACUAAGGAGCAAAAUUCUGCAACAUAAAGUCAAAGAAAACUAUGCCUAUAUCCAUUAAAUCAAAUGUUAAAAAGCAAAUAUAAAGAAAAAGUCUUCACAGCCCUAGAGAAAAGUGAAACAUUGUACAUAAAGAAGUAAUAAUUUGAAUGGAUUGUCAGAAACCAUGACUAGAAGACAGAGGAGCAAUAUUUUCAAAUUUCAUAGAGAAAGGAAAAAAA
rnacentral:lncRNA from 1 species